UGAUAAUUAACGUUUCUGUGGCACUUCAUAAAAAAAGUCUGGCCGUCCAGUCACUUCCUGGCUCUGUGGAAAUUUCCUAAACAAGCUGAUUAAAUCACGCUGAAUGGGGAGACGAGGAUUCGUUUGUGCUGGGAAGCUCCAUGGAGGCGUGUAUGAGCUUCAGAGUGCAGCAUCGUUCAGAGAGAAGAGGCCCAGAGUGGAAAAUUCCAGCAUCUGUGCAGAAAGUGUCAGAGGACACCAUUUGGAUCAGAUGACCUCAGUAGCUGUGGGCCAACUGGCAAACACCACUGACAGAUUAGAGGACUGAAGAGCAGGGCAAUGCGCUCCAAGCAUGACACACACUCAGUAAACAGUAAACACACAAAUGUGUUUAAUAAGUGGCCUCCGAAAUAAACAAUCUGCCAUUAACACACACGCACACACACCUAAUUUAAUUCACCCUAUGAUCAUGUACCUCAUAUAUAAUAAUAGAGUCUACAUGAAGACAAUUGUU